rnacentral:rRNA from 1 species
UCAAGAAAAGUCUCUAUCGAGGUUAAAGGUACCCGUACCGCAAACCGACACAGGUGGGUGAGGAGAGUAUCCUAAGGCCAGCGAGAGAACUGUUGUUAAGGAACUCGGCAAAAUGACCCCGUAACUUAGGGAUAAGGGGUGCCACCAUCAGGUGGCCGCAGAGAAUAGGCCCAAGCGACUGUUUACCAAAAACAUAGGUUUCUGCUAAGUCGCAAGACGAUGUAUAGGAGCUGACGCCUGCCCGGUGCUGGAAGGUUAAGGGGAUCUGUUAGAGCAAUCGAAGCAGUGAACUUAAGCCCCAGUAAACGGCGGCCGUAACUAUAACGGUCCUAAGGUAGCGAAAUUCCUUGUCGGGUAAGUUCCGACCCGCACGAAAGGCGUAACGAUUUGGGCACUGUCUCAACAACAGACUCGGUGAAAUUGUAAUUCCGGUGAAGAUGCCGGAUACCUGCGACAGGACGGAAAGACCCCAUGGAGCUUUACUGUAGCUUGACAUUGGGUCUUGGUACUACAUGUACAGGAUAGGUGGGAGGCUUUGAAACCAGGACGCCAGUUUUGGCGGAGCCAUCCUUGGGAUACCACCCUUGUAGUACUGGGACUCUAACCAUAGGCCAUGAAUCUGGUCUUGGGACACUGUCAGGUGGGCAGUUUGACUGGGGCGGUCGCCUCCCAAAAGGUAACGGAGGCGCUCAAAGGUUCUCUCAGUACGGUCGGAAAUCGUACGUAGAGUGUAAAGGCAAAAGAGAGCUUGAUUGCAAGACAUACAGGUCGAGCAAGGAUGAAAAUCGGACUUAGUGAUCCGGUGGUUCUGCGUGGAAGGGCCAUCGCUCAACGGAUAAAAGCUACCCUGGGGAUAACAGGCUUAUCUCCCCCAAGAGUCCACAUCGACGGGGAGGUUUGGCACCUCGAUGUCGGCUCAUCACAUCCUGGGGCUGUAGUAGGUCCCAAGGGUUGGGCUGUUCGCCCAUUAAAGUGGUACGCGAGCUGGGUUCAGAACGUCGUGAGACAGUUCGGUCCCUAUCCGUCGCAGGCGUAGGAAAUUUGAGAAGACCUGUCCUUAGUACGAGAGGACCGGGAUGGACG